rnacentral:rRNA from 1 species
ACGGAGGGUGCGAGCGUUAAUCGGAAUCACUAGGCGUAAAGCGCACGUAGGCGGUGUCGUAAGUUGGAUGUGUAAGCCCUCAGCUCAACCGGCGAACCGCAUUCGAUACUGCGAUGCUUGAGUGCCGUUGCGGAUGUCGAAAUUCCAGGUGUAGUAGUGAAAUCCGUUUAUAUCGGGAGGAAUACCAGGGGCGAAGGCGAACAUCAGGGCUGCCACUGAGGCUAAGCUGCGUAAGCGUGGGGAUCAAACAG